rnacentral:rRNA from 1 species
AGCGCACCUUCGGGUGAGCGGCGGACGGGUUAGUAACGCGUGGGAACGUGCCCUUUUCUGCGGAAUAGCCACUGGAAACGGUGAGUAAUACCGCAUACGCCCUUCGGGGGAAAGAUUUAUCGGAGAAGGAUCGGCCCGCGUUAGAUUAGGUAGUUGGUGGGGUAAUGGCCUACCAAGCCUACGAUCUAUAGCUGGUUUGAGAGGAUGAUCAGCAACACUGGGACUGAGACACGGCCCAGACUCCUACGGGAGGCAGCAGUGGGGAAUCUUAGACAAUGGGGGCAACCCUGAUCUAGCCAUGCCGCGUGAGUGAUGAAGGCCUUAGGGUCGUAAAGCUCUUUCGCUGGGGAUGAUAAUGACAGUACCCAGUAAAGAAACCCCGGCUAACUCCGUGCCAGCAGCCGCGGUAAUACGGAGGGGGUUAGCGUUGUUCGGAAUUACUGGGCGUAAAGCGCACGUAGGCGGACUGGAAAGUUAGAGGUGAAAUCCCGGGGCUCAACCCCGGAACUGCCUUUAAAACUAUCAGUCUAGAGUUCGAGAGAGGUGAGUGGAAUUCCGAGUGUAGAGGUGAAAUUCGUAGAUAUUCGGAGGAACACCAGUGGCGAAGGCGGCUCACUGGC